rnacentral:pre_miRNA from 1 species
AAUAGAUGACGCUAUUGAUUUGUUCUCACAUGUUUGACCAUUUAUCUUAUUUAAAAAAUUUACGUAAUUAUAAUUUAUUUUGUUAUGAGUUGUUUUAUCACUCAUAGUACUUUAAUGUGAUUUAUAUCUUAUACAUUUGCAUACAAUCUUUGAAUAAGACGAAUGAUCAAACAUGUGAAAAAAAAUCAACGGUGUCAUUUAUU